UACAGAGGAUGCAAGCGUUAUCCGGAAUGAUUGGGCGUAAAGCGUCUGUAGGUGGCUUUUUAAGUCCGCCGUCAAAUCCCAGGGCUCAACUCUGGACAGGCGGUGGAAACUACCAAGCUGGAGUACGGUAGGGGCAGAGGGAAUUUCCGGUGGAGCGGUGAAAUGCGUAGAGAUGCGGAGGAACACCGAUGGCGAAGGCAGCCCCCUGGGCCAAUACUGACGCUCAGGCACGAAAGCGUGGGGAGCAAACAGG
rnacentral:rRNA from 1 species